rnacentral:misc_RNA from 1 species
AUGUCCAAAACGAUGAUUCUACAGUUGUUGCGAACAGCGACUAGCCGCCAACUUUUACGAUGUUCGCAAGUUCAGACCACAACAACAUUCUGGCGAAUUCAAACUCAACAAUUCGCAUCUGAAGGAAAACGUGGAAGGCGAAAGUUUGUGGAAGCCGCCGUCGUGAAGAGUACGAAAAGUACAAAACAAACUGUCGAUGUUUGGAAGCAAAUGAAUCCUUCAGAGCUCGCCGCGGCACUUUCCGUAGAUUUGAGUGAAAUUACCGAGUUUUUGGAAAGCCUCGACCGCCGGAAUGUUGAUGCAAUCAUUUCUGAUUCUCCACUUGACGAUGUUUCGAUUUUGCAGACCUCCAUCCACAACUAGAAGCUUCUCCAAAAGAUCUAGAACGUCGCCCACCGAUUGUAACUAUCAUGGGACAUGUUGAUCAUGGAAAAACCACACUUUUGGAUGCAAUGCGUAAUUCUCAAAUCGCUGCAGGAGAAUUCGGUGGAAUCACACAACAUAUUGGCGCAUUCUCUGUCGAAUUAACAAAAGGAAGAAGAGUCACAUUUUUGGAUACACCGGGUCAUGCCGCAUUCGCAUCAAUGAGAGCCCGUGGUGCGAAAGGAGCUGAUAUUGUUGUUCUCGUUGUUGCUGCCGAUGAUGGAGUCAAAGAACAGACUGCACAAUCGAUAAAAUUUGCAAAAGACGCGAAUGUUCAACUGGUGGUGGCUGUAAAUAAAAUUGACAAGCCAAACGCAGAUCCAAUGAGAGCAAUGCGAUCAUUGUUGGAACAUGAUGUCGUUGUUGAGCAGCUCGGUGGAGAUGUUCAAUGUGUUGAGGUUUCUGCAUUACAAUCUAGAAAUCUACCAUCUUUACAAGAUGCUCUUCUUCUUCAAGCAGAUGUCAUGGAUUUAAAAGCAACGAAAAAAGGAAAAGUGGAAGCAGUUAUCAUUGAAUCAUCAGUUGUACAUGGAAUUGGAAAAGUUUGCACAUUAGUUGUUUCUCGAGGAACACUCAAAAAGGGAUGUGUACUAGUGGCAGGAAGCUCGUGGUGUCGUGUCAAGACAAUGCAUGAUGAAAAUGGAAAAAUUGUUCAAGUCGCGACACCAUCACAACCAGUUCGCGUUUCAGGAUGGAAAGACGAUCUUCCAACUCCUGGUGACCUCGUUCUCGAAGCGGAAACUGUAGAUCGUGCACAGAAAGCUGUAAACUUGAGAAUUGAUAAUAUGAUGCGCGAGAAGGCUGAUCGUGAUUGGGAAGACACAAAAGAUCAGAGAGACAAAGCUCGUGAGACAUAUCUGAGCAAUCGACAGCAGCUUCUCGACAGAGGACAACGAUUCGGAUCGACUCUUCGUAAUAUUGUUCAUAAAAAGCAACGAAUUGAGAAAGAUGUAGCUGACGGAUCUCCAAAAUUUAGGCUUAUAAUCCGAACAGACGUAGAAGGCACACUCGAGGCGAUUCUGGAAAUUUUGAGCACAUAUAAAAGCGAGCAAUGCAAGCUACAAUUGGUUGAUUUCGAAGUGGGACCGCCGACUGAAAAAGACAUUGAAUUGGCAAAAGAGACGGAUGCCACAAUAUACACAUUCAACGUAGAAACAUCUGCAAAACUCAAACAACGUGCCGAUGCUGCUGGUAUUCAAAUCGAUUCAUUCAAUGUCAUUUAUCGCAUGAUUGAAUCGCUGAAAGGAGAACUUUCUGCUCGUAUUCCAAAGCUAACUGAACUCCAUUUAGUUGGAGAAGGACACGUGCUCAAAGAAUUUGUCAUUUCGGAUCGUGGAAGAAAGCGGCAACCUAUUGCAGGAACCCUUGUGAAUUGGGGAAACUUUGAUAGACAUUGCAUUUAUAAGUUCACUCGAGGCAAUCAAGUCGUUUACGAAGGAGAAGUCGAAACUAUGAAAGCUGGAAUGGAAGUGGUGACGAAUGCAAAAACGAACACAGAAGUCGGUCUCGCGUUGUCUGAUAAAAAUAUUCGAUUCAAAGAAGAUGAUCAAGUUGAAGCUUACGAGAAGCGUACCAUCACUCAAGAAGUCGACUGGUAUCCACCAGGAUUUUAG